rnacentral:lncRNA from 1 species
CCUGAUUCAAUUUUUAAUGGGUCUACAAUAUUGAUCAGGAAUAGAGCUUAUUCUAUGGUGAUUAGUGUUGAAAAACAAAAAGAAGUAUACAAUAUCAACUCACCUGAAGGGACGCCUGCUGCAUUUUACACCAAUCUGAAAGACAAUCCAAAAUUUUCAAACUAAAAAAAAGAAAAAGACAGCAUGACAUGCACUUAUUGUAGAAACACAUUG